AUCCCUGUGAAUAUGCCCUCAAUCCCCUGCCCGGGGAUAAGGAGCGGGCAUCAGGCACAAAAUUUAGCCCAAGACGCCUAGCCAAGCCACACCCCCAAGGGAAUUCAGCAGUGAUAAACAUUAAGCCAUAAGUGAAAACUUGACUCAGUCAGGGCUAAAAGGGCCGGUAAAACUCGUGCCAGCCACCGCGGUUAAACGAGAGGCCCUAGUUGAUAAUAUUACGGCGUAAAGGGUGGUUAAGGAAAACAAAUUAAUAAAGCCAAAUGGCCCUUUGGCCGUCAUACGCUCCUAGGUGUCCGAAGCCCAAUUUUACGAAAGUAGCUUUAACAAAAUUAACCUGACCCCACGAAAGCUGAGAAACAAACUGGGAUUAGAUACCCCACUAUGCUCAGCCAUAAACCUAGACGCCCUAGUACAAUAGGCGUCCGCCAGGGUACUACGAGCAUCAGCUUGAAACCCAAAGGACCUGACGGUGCCUUAGACCCCCCUAGAGGAGCCUGUUCUAGAACCGAUAACCCCCGUUAAACCUCACCACUUCUAGCCAUCCCAGCCUAUAUACCGCCGUCGCCAGCUUACCCUGUGAAGGCACCAAAAGUAAGCAAAAUGGGCACAACCCAGAACGUCAGGUCGAGGUGUAGCGUACGAAGUGGGAAGAAAUGGGCUACAUUUUCUAUUAUAGAAUAUUACGAAUCAUACAACAUGAAAUAGUGCUUGAAGGAGGAUUUAGUAGUAAAAAGGAAGCAGAGUGUCCUUUUGAACCCGGCUCUAAGGCGCGUACACACCGCCCGUCACUCUCCCCUGUCAAAACGCAGUAACGCUACAUAACACAAAAGCACUGACAAGGGGAGGCAAGUCGUAACAUGGUAAGUGUACCGGAAGGUGCACUUGGAUUAAACU
rnacentral:ncRNA from 1 species